CAGACCCGGUUGAUCCUGCCGGACCCGACUGCUAUCGGGAUGAUACUAAGCCAUGGGAGUCGUACGCCCUCGACCACGCGAGGGCGUGGCGUACGGCUCAGUAGCACAUGGUCAAUCUACCCUUGGGAGGAGGAUAACCCCGGGAAACUGGGGCUAAUACUUCAUAGAUGAGUAACCCUGGAAUUGGGUACUCAUCGAAAGGGUGCAGGGGCAUGUCCCUGUACCGCCUAAGGAUGAGACUGUGUUCCAUCAGGUAGUUGGCGAGGUAACGGCUCGCCAAGCCGAUAACGGAUGCGGGCAGUGAGAGCUGGAGCCCGGAGAUGGGCACUGAGACAAGGGCCCAGGCCCUACGGGGCGCACCAGGCGAGAAACCUUAGCAAUGCGGGAAACCGUGACUGGGCCAUCCCGAGUGCCAGCCGCUAAGGCUGGCUUUUCCCCAGAGUAAGCAUCUGGGGGAAUAAGCGGGGGGCAAGACUGGUGUCAGCCGCCGCGGUAAUACCAGCUCCGCGAGUGGUCGGGACGAUUAUUGAGCCUAAAGCGCUCGUAGCCGGCCCCGUAAGUCCCGUGUUAAAUCCAACGGCUUAACCGUUGGGCUGCAUGGGAUACUGCGGGGCUAGGGAGCGGAAGAGGCCAGGGGUACUCCCGGGGUAGGGGCGAAAUCCUAUAAUCCCGGGAGGACGACCAGUGGCGAAGGCGCCUGGCUAGGACGCGUCCGACGGUGAGGGGCGAAAGCUGGGGGAGCGAACCGGAUUAGAUACCCGGGUAGUCCCAGCCGUAAACGAUGCGGACUGGGUGUUGGCACGGCUUCGGGCCGUGCCAGUGCCUCAGGGAAGCCGUUAAGUCCGCCGCUUGGGGAGUACGGUCGCAAGACUGAAACUUAAAGGAAUUGGCGGGGGAGCACCACAAGGGGUGAAGCCUGCGGCUCAAUUGGAGUCAACUCCGGGAACCUUACCAGGUGCGACAGCAGGAUGAAGGCCAAGCUGAUGACUUUGCCUGACGCGCUGAGAGGUGGCGCAUGGCCGUCGCCAGCUCGUGCCGUGAGGUGUCUGGUUAAGUCCAGGAACGAGCGAGACCCUCACCCUUAGUUGCGACCGCGAAAGCGGGCACACUAAGGGGACCGCCACCGUUAAGGUGGAGGAAGGAGGGGGCAACGGCAGGUCAGCAUGCCCCGAAUCACCUGGGCCGCACGCGGGCUGCAAUGGUGGAGACAAUGGGAUCCGAACCCGAAAGGGGGAGGUAAUCCUUGAAACUCCACCGUAGUUGGGAUCGAGGGCUGUAACCCGCCCUCGUGAACCUGGAAUCCCCAGUAAUCGCGUGUCAUCAUCGCGCGGUGAACAAGUCCCCGCUCCUUGCACACACCGCCCGUCGCUCCACCCGAGCUGAUUCCAGAUGAGGCGAGGUCGCUAAGGCUUCGUCGAAUCUGGAAUCGGCGAGGGGGGAGAAGUCGUAACAAGGUGGCCGUAGGGGAACCUGCGGCCGGAUCACCUCCUA
rnacentral:rRNA from 2 species